UCUGUCAUACUGAACACACCCCUGGUCAGCUGCUGUGCUUCCAGGCAGUUUUCAGACCAUUGGUGGGAGAUGCUCAAGAGCUCACACCGGUGACAGUUCCGGGUUUUUACAAAUCACUGUCGGAGUGUUUGUGUAGCCGACCAUGGCUGUUGUUAUGGAGCAUCUAUUUUUAACAGCUUCCAGCCGAUAAACAAGUGGAAACUAGAUCUUUCAUGGAGUCGGUGUCAUAUCUUCUGCCAUUCUUUGGGGUCCGUUUUAUCCAGGUCCUGCUACAGAGUUUGGUGGAUGGGGAGAAGGGACGAAAACAACCCCAACCUCAUCCGGGUCAAUUGCACCAAAGCUUGUGCACUGGCCCUGAAGAAGUACCAUGGGUGGCUAGUGCAAAAGCUCUUCAAGUCUUCCACUGUAGGUAGCUGUGUUUCGCAGCCCCCUACAAGGCAGAUUUCCUGAGGGCACUGUCCAAGAGGUCAAGGAAAAGGACUGCCGGGACAAAAUACGACUAUUUCUAGUGAACUUCACUGCCACUGAUGCCAUCUAUGAGAUGUACACCAAGAUGAAUGCCGAGAUCUAAUUCCAUUGGUACAUCAACGUGAUUGUAUUUGAUAAAAGAUGCCUUAUUAUUGAUGUAAUCAUACAAAUGUCAUCUCACCUAAUCAUCAUUUAGGAAGUCAAAACCAAAUCUCUCGCGGAAACAGUCAUAUCACAGGAGAAUAAUAUUUGUAUAGUCAAAGCAGCGGCAGGAGUAAACUGUCAAGUCGGGAUGAUUUGUUUUAAAAGAUUGAAAAGUUUCAAGCUUCAAAUAAGUGAGUCUUUAAAGUGUUCUAAAAAAUGUGUUGGAAAGGAAAUGUUUUAUAACCUUUACAUGUUAAGUGACAUUGAAAUCAAUCCACCAAAUGGUGACAUUUCAUUUUAGGCUGUUUCAUAAAUAUGAUUGAUUGUGAAUUACAUUGUGAUGCAGUGUUGAUUAUGAUAAAUAAACCAGAUUUAUUUUGUGUAAUUAUAGUGGCUGAAUCAAGCCAUGUGAGUAUAGAGAUGCCACUAAUAUUGUUAACCUAACUGUGCCAUCUGCCAUUGACAGGAGAGAGGGUGAACUCUCACUAGCUUUGUCUUUGUCCAACAGUGCAACUUUACAGGAUGCCUGCCUCUUGAGUUGAAUUUUUGAUUUUCAUAAGGCACUUUUUUAUCUCUUGCGAAACACAUUACGGUGUACCCUAAUGAACACACCCCUGUGAUAUAUUGUAGAGGGUUUAUUUUGAACCAUAAUGGAGCAUGUCUUUUCUUGGAAUUUCUCAGUUUUACUUCUGAUUGACUUUCUAAUACUGAUUCAGGUGAUUCGGCCUCCAGAUGUCCUUUCCUUGCCCUUUUGCAAUUCCUAUUUGUUUGGUGGCAAAAAACAUGUAAUGAAAACACUAUGGCAUUAUCGGAAAUUUAUAGCAUUAUAGUAAAAUUUAAAUUCACUGAAAAUGUAUUGUUAGUCAGUGAUUAGUUUCCAUUUUCUGGUUAUUAAUUUUUGGGUAUCACUUGAUUGUCAUGAGAAAUGUGUAUGAAAAGGAUUCAAAUGCAGGGCAUAAAUUAUGUACGAUAUUAUACAUUAUUUUAAUCUUAUAUUGCAAAUGAAUAUUUUUACAAAAUAUUACCAGUUUCUAAUUUUAUAUUGAAUUGUGUCAGCAGUGGAGAAGGUGGAAAGUUUUAAGUUCCUUGGCGUAUGUAACGGAUGUGC